rnacentral:rRNA from 1 species
ACGGGAGGCAGCAGUGAGGAAUAUUGGUCAAUGGGCGUAAGCCUGAACCAGCCAAGUAGCGUGGAGGAUGACGGCCCUACGGGUUGUAAACUCCUUUUGCCGGGGGAUAAAAAACGGGACGCGUCCCGUCUUGCAGGUACCCGUGCGAAUAAGGACCGGCUAAUUCCGUGCCAGCAGCCGCGGUAAUACGGAAGGUCCGAGCGUUAUCCGGAUUUAUUGGGUUUAAAGGGUGCGCAGGCGGGAUGUCAAGUCAGUGGUGAAAUGGUGCGGCUCAACCGUAGCAUUGCCGUUGAAACUGGCGUCCUUGAGUGCGAAUGAGGUACGCGGAACGUGUCAUGUAGCGGUGAAAUGCAUAGAUAUGACACAGAACACCGAUUGCGAAGGCAGCGUACUGGGACGCGACUGACGCUGAGGCACGAAAGUGCGGGGAUCGAACAGGAUUAGAUACCUGGUA